GUUCUAUCUGCCCUUUGACCACUUUAGCUCGGUCACACUCACUGAUCUCACUAUACUUGUAAAAGUAUCCUUUUUGCUAAUCCGUAUUGCUGAGCUCGGUGUUGCGUUGAGACGUUUGCAAGGAACAGAAGAACAUCGGCAGAAAUUUGAGACGGAAAAUAAAAUCAGAAACAUGAAGUUGGCUUUGAUUGUGAUUGAUAUGCAAAACUUUUUCAAGGACCUGGCAGAACCAAUUUUGAAAAACAUAACUGCAUUGGUAAAUCAAUGUCACAAAAAAGCAGUCCCUGUUAUUUUCACUCAGCAUCAUGACCCAGAUCCAAGGUCAGUGCAAUCAAUCUUCGUGCAAAACCAGAUUGUACAUGGCUCUGAGAGCUGGCAGCUAUAUGAACCAGUGAUGGAUCUAGCUAAUAAAGAGACAGAUUUCUUUAUCGAGGAAAAAUGCAGAUAUGAUGCAUUUUGGAACACAAGGUUGAAAGAUAUACUGCUUAAGGAAUGUGUGGACACUGUCAUCAUAACUGGUGUGAUGACAAACUUGUGCUGUGAGACAACUGCAAGAACAGCAGUGUGUAAUGAUUUUAAUAUUUUGUUUGUGAGUGAUGGCAAUGCAACCAGACAGAAAGAAUGGCAUGAUGCUACCUUAGAAAAUAUUGGAGGCUUCUUUGGAAAGGUGGUUACAACAGAGGAUGUUUUAAAACUUAUUUGAUGUCACAUGAAUGCUGGUGUAUCUCAUUUGCAUAGGAGAGUUUUCAUUUGACUUUGAUGCAAAAUUCCAUACAAUUGAUUUUUAUGUGUGUAACUACCUCUUUCAUUUUAGAGGGGGUGCCAAAUUUUUAGCAAUUUUAGCACUGUCUGAAGAACUCUUAUGAUUAUGAAUUUAUAACCUUUGAUUUACAUGGCUGUAUUUUUGACAAGGAUUCCGGUUUUUAAUGCUUAGAACAAAUCAUCUUUCUGGUUGAAUUUUGUAGAAAACCUUUUUACUGGCACUAGGCCCAAAGCUUUUGGGAGCCAGAAGGGGAGCCUCUACGCUUUCUUUUGGGAAGCCCUACUCUUAAGAAAAAAUAAGAAUAGUUAAGAAACAAGAAGGAAAGGAAUCAAUGCAUUUCAGUUAGCAAUUAUGAAUUUUAAGAAUUUUCACAUGAAAAUAUAUGACUACAACCUGCGUUUUUUACGUGGUUUUCCUUAAAAACCAGAACAUUGGGUGGAUUGUUAAUUUUUGGCAAUUACAUCUGGCAGAAAAAGUUGGCAUCUUUGGCCAUUCUUUUGAUAUUAAGACAAAUAGUGAGAGUCUGUUUUUUUGAUAUAAAAUUUUUCAUAUGAUUUCUCUAUGUAGUGUAGAUUUUAUGAUAGUAUACAAUUCCAUGAAAAACUUUACACCGUCAGUCUUUAGAAUUUUAGAAACGUCGUAAAAAUUGAUAUCACGUGCAUUUGCUUUAUGAAAACUUACAGGUAGCUUAGACUUUUUGUCUUUGAUGCUAAUCUAAAGUAAAAAAUCUUGUAUAACAGAAAUUGGAAGUAUUUUUCAAAAUGAAGCUAUACAAUUCAAUUGAUAUUUUGAGCAAACCGCUGAAGGAAGAUCAUUGUUUGUAUGUUGAUUAACAAUGUUACUCGUUCUGGUUGCAGGUGUUUGAGUUUUGGUAGAAGGUGCGAUUUUGAUGGUUUUUUGUCACCCCAACCCCCUCCCCCCAGGGGUCAUGUACCAGGCUUUUGAAUCCAGGGACAGAAAUUGAGCUUUUUGAGGGCGGUGGAAACACAGUUAAUUUAUUAAGCUUCUUGUUUUUUAUCUACUCAUUUCUAAUCAAUCUCUAUAUGUUUUUAUUGAUAUGGGACUUGUCAGCUGGACUAUAAUUCAUCCUAAAAGUCCGGUAACUUGUUAAGCAAAUUUCAGUUUGCGCGACUAUGAAAAAGAUAUUGAGAACUUAACCUUUAAAAUGAUUUAAUCUUGCUUACAUUUUUAGUAAUUAAAAAGCCUAACAAGAGAUAUAUUGCAAUUCAUACACUUUGGUGAUUGUGAACGAGCAAAUCUCAGAAACCUUUCGUGCUUGAAGCAAGGCAUAAGGAUGCAAAAUGAAAACUGUUUUAGACCAUUUCAGCCGUAAUAAAAAUGUGCGGAGAUUAAGCUGUCCGUCAACUGUUUGCCUGAAAUGUAACAAGGCCGCCGAGAGGUUUCAGAGACUCUGGUGCAAAACAUAAUAACGAGGCCACUUGCAAUCUAAGCAUCAGAAAAUAUUUGCGACCACGCCCUCCAGACUAGCUUAAAAUACACUUCAAAGUAUCUAUUGGAGUUAUUUUUUGCAAUCAUUGAAAAGUUGUGCUAUUUUUUGUCAUACUUUAGUAACGUUCCGUUAAUUAAAUUUUUUUACAAUUGAAUUCAUUACUAUAAGAGGCUCCCCAGGCCUCAAGGCCCUGGGAAAAUUUGCCUCCUUGCCCCCUCUAGGCGGCCCUGUAUGUUAACAGAAAGUCAAUAGCUCCACUUAUUGUCUUUUACCGUAAAUACUCCCCAAUU